AAGGGGUGAUUGACGCUGAGGCACGAAAGCGUGGGGAUCAAAACAGGAUUAGAUACCCUGGUAGUCCACGCAGUAAACGAUGAUAACUAACCGCUGGUUCUUUAGCGGAUCAGUGGCCAAGCGAAAAGCGAUAAGUUAUCCCACCUGAGGAGUACGACCGCAAGGUUGAAACUCAAAGGAAUUGACGGGGGCCCGCACAAGCGGAGGAACAUGUGGUUUAAUUCGAUGAUACGCGAGGAACCUUACCGGGGCUCGAACGGUACAGGAAGAGAUCAGGAGACUGUGACGUCCUUCGGGACCUGUAUCGAGGUGCUGCAUGGUUGUCGUCAGCUCGUGCCGUGAGGUGUCGGCUCAAGUGCCAUAACGAGCGCAACCCUUGCCGUCAGUUACCAUCAAGUUGCGUUGGGGACUCUGACGGGACUGCCACCGCAAGGUGUGAGGAAGGGGGGGAUGACGUCAAAUCAGCACGGCCCUUACGUCCGGGGAGGGGCGGGGUGUACAAUGUGAGUUACAGAAGGUACCUACCUGGUGACAGGAUGGCAAUCUCCAAAAGCUCUCUCAGUCCGGAUCGGAGUCUGCAACCCGACUCCGUGAAGCUGG
rnacentral:rRNA from 1 species